CAGCCCGGUAAUUCCAGCUCCAAUAGCGUAUAUUAAAGUUGUUGCAGUUAAAAAGCUCGUAGUUGAACUUCGGGGUCUACCCAUUGGUCAGGCUUAAUUGUCUGCACUGGUGAGAUGGAUCUCUACCUUCUGAGGAACUUUCAUGCCAUUUAUUUGGUGUGAUGGGAAAUCAGGACUGUUACUUUGAAAAAAUUAGAGUGUUUAAAGCAGACUAUCGUCUGAAUACAUUAGCAUGGAAUAAUGAAAUAGGACGGACUGAUUCUAUUUCGUUGGUUUCUAGGAUCACCGUAAUGAUUAAUAGGGAUAGUUGGGGGCAUUAGUAUUCAAUUGUCAGAGGUGAAAUUCUUGGAUUUAUUGAAGACUAACUACUGUGAAAGCAUUUGCCAAGGAUGUUUUCAUUAAUCAAGAACGAAAGUUAGGGGAUCGAAGACGAUCAGAUACCGUCGUAGUCUUAACCAUAAACUAUGCCGACUAGGGAUCGGACGAAGUUAAUUUUAUAAUGACGCGUUCGGCACCUUACG
rnacentral:misc_RNA from 1 species